GGGCAGGUUGCGGAGUUGGUCAAUCGCAAUAGACUGUAAAUCUAUCGGCUGUUAGCCUUCGAAGGUUCGAAUCCUUCCCUGCCCA
rnacentral:tRNA from 1 species